ACAGGAAACCGGGGCUCCUGGGAAAAUCUGCAGUCACCAACUGGGAAGAGGGAGGAGUGUUUGGAGAUAGCAGAGAUGGGUAGCCUGUAGUUGCUCACUGGGAGAAGAGUGGUGAAGCUGGCAGACCCAGAGAAGGAAGGGAGAGCCAAAGGUUAGGACAGCUCAGGGAAAUGCAGUAAGCAGAGAGACCAGGACUGCAGAAAGACCCCAGGAGGAACAGAAGACAUUUGAGUUGAUUAUAUGUUAUUUACCAGUCGUGGUGGACGUUAUUUGUGAUUUUAAGGACAGUGGUGACCAUGGAAGGAGGGUGACACUAGGGGAACCUGGCAAGGUCCCAACACGAGAGACCAUCUGAAAGGCCAUAAGGGGCACUCUAGGAUGGUGGACCUGUUACACAGUGCUACAGAUUUGAACCCCUGCUAACAGGGCACUUGGGUGAAAGAAGUACAGAGACGCACCUUCCACUACAGACCUAGAGGAUGAUGACAGAGCAUCACCACCAAUGCCUGGGAGUGAGGUAUUUCAGAAACUAAUACCAGCUUUAUCGUACGUGUUCAGUUAGGAGAAGCACUCCUAAUGAGAGGUACUGCUUUUAGCUCUGGAAGCCUGAAUUCAAGUGUGACUGAACCUCCAAGUAAUAUGAGCUUAGCAGUUAUUUGUCUACAACAUGGAGAACCACCACACAGUUUGGCAGAAAUGUCAGUUUCUGCUCAGAUGAGAUCCAGAAUUGCAAUAGCAGGGAUGAUGCUGGUCAGGUCUGAGUGCCACUGGGUAAAUUAUGUGGAGAAGCUUGUACUCUGAUGGUCAAUCCUAAUCUGCUCCAAGCAAUGCUCUGAGUUUUCAACACUCUCUAACAUUCACAGGAAAUUCAUCAAAGGAAACAAAUACAGUAUGGAAAAGUAAAAUGUAACUAUGUCUGCUAUAUUGUAACUGAACUGAUUUUAAGUGUGUUAUGGAUGUUACAAAUUGGGAUUCCACCAAAUCUUUGAUAUAUCUUAAGACUGAUAAGAGAAGUGGUCUAGUGGUCAAAGCACAGGACUGGGAGUCAGGAAUUCCUAAAUUCUAAUCCUGGCCUUGGACAGUAACUCCUUCCACGGCCUUGGGCAAGUACUUAACCCAUCUGCCUUAGUUUCCCCCGAGGAUAAUAACAACAUAGGUGCACUGUGAGGAUUAAUUAGGCUUGUCUACACUUGGAAAUAGCCCUAAUUUAGCAAUCAGUGGCCAAAAAUUGCUGUAGCUGCAUCAAUGCUGAUCCUUAAGUGUAGACAAAGGCAAGCCAAGGUUUGAACCAACUGAGCUAAUUGGGGCUUACUGCUGCUUCCAGUAGGGAUAAACUUCAAUUAGCUCCGUCAAUACAAACCUCUACAUAUCCUUGUCCACCCUUAAAAGGCAGUACUGGUGCAGCUGUACCAAUUAUUGGUCACCAAUUGCUGAAUGAGGGCUAUUCUUGAGUAGAGACAAGAAUUUAUUUAAUGCUUAUAGGAUGUUUUGAAAAUGUUAUGUGCUAAGUCUUAAUUUUAUAGCUUCCUUAAAGCAAACUCAUUUAGCAAUACAAGCUCUCCAAGUGACUUACUUUCAUAUGGCUCUUUGUUGGCAAAAAUUGCCCAGAGCACUAUACCAAAACUGUAAACAUCUGACUUCUCCACAGGUUUUGUGUUAACUGAGAGUAAGUGCUCUGGGGCCAUAUAGUAAAGAGUGCCAGCGGCGCUCCUGGAUGCGCUCUUGGAAGUGCUCUUGAUUUUCCUCUGCCGGCUGGUCUCUUCUUUGGUCAAUCUACUCCAGUUUUUAAAGCAGGCGACACCAAGAUCUGCAAUCUGUAAAACAGGUCAAAUCAGAGCUACUGAAAAUGGAGGACGUGGCUAAUAAAGGGGAGAGAUGGAGCAAAUUGUUUUCACAUAGUACUCAAGGUUUGUUAAAUAUGAGGAAAUGAUUUAUCUGAAACUCAAACUCCUCAAUAAGUGUAACCAAAGAGGGUCAAUUAAAUCAUAUUUUAAAGAUCUCUGUGUUGCCUGAAUCAAAUAUUGUUGCCAACUGAGACGCAUUGAAUUUUAACAUGUUGCGACACUGUUAUAGCCCAACCAUGUUAUAACACAACUUGGCUUUGCUAAUAUGUAUGAGACCAAACUGAGUUAUAAUCAUGUUAGAGAACAGAAGUUUCAGGGUGAAAUUCACCCAGUGCAGGAGGUCAACACAGAUAAACGGUAGCUAAGAUUAGGAUAGGCCUGGAUGGGGAAUUAACCAAUUCCAUCCCAAUUACAAAGGGGUUUCGACAACGCUGACUCUUAGCCCCUUUUCUUUUUAACUUUUAUAUCAGUGAUGUUUUAACAUUAAAAGGGCAUCAGAAUUCAUGACCCCCCCCCAAUAUGAAUCACUUUGUGUUAGAACCAUGUUGUCUGCAUAGAAUAUCUCAAACACCAUUAGGACUGAGACAUUUAUUUAAACUCAUUUGAACCCACUGCCCCCGGGACUGGAAGUGAUUCAGAAUAAAUUUCUCAGGAAGAUUCUUGAUCUCCCAAAUAAUACUCCUGCUGCUCUUAGAGCUGAGACAGGUAUGAAUUCUAUUCUGUCCAAAGUGCAAUAUGGGAAUAUUAAUAUUUGACUUUGCAUUCAUAGCAUGCACCCAUAGCGUUUGUCAAGGUUAGACUUAGCAGAACAGCUCAGUAGGACUUUUUCACUUAAAUUUGCAUUCUCUAGGUUUCUCGGAAUUGGAAAUAAUUAGAUUUAUGUUUAAAAAUGUGAAAUCCAUAAUCUGGUUGAGAUUAGAAGAUAUUAAUAAGCAAAUACAUUUGGUAGUGAUUUCUAUUUCAAGUAGGUCACCUUGGUUCCUCCUUGUUAAAAAGACUCCUGGAUAUUCCAGAUAUUUAGAGAGUUUGUGUAAUAACUUGCUAAGGAGGGCCAUUAGAGUUCUCCAUUUUCAAUCAAUGAAGACUGCUUACUUAGAAAGCUGAUAUACUGGCACCGAGAAAUGUAACCACCUCUGUCCAUGAGGCUUAGGGCAUUAUUUAUUACAUUGUAACCUGUAUUGCCACUUGAGGUCAAAAUAGCUUUCUGUGUUUUUGUCCCGGAUGCCUUUUUCUAUGCCCUCUCAGAUCAGGAACUGUUCAGAACUGACAAUGUA